rnacentral:rRNA from 1 species
AACGAACGCUGGCGGCGCGCUUAACACAUGCAAGUCGAACGAGAAGGCGUAGCAAUACGCUUGUACAGUGGCGAACGGGUGAGGAAUACAUGGGUAACCUACCCUCGAGUGGGGGAUAACCCGCCGAAAGGCGGGCUAAUACCGCGUACGCUUCCGAUCUUGCGGGAUUGGAAGGAAAGCUGUCCCUUGGGGAUGGCGCUCAAGGAUGGGCUCAUGUCCUAUCAGCUUGNGGUAGGGUAACGGCCUACCAAGGCAUCGACGGGUAGCUGGUCUGAGAGGACGAUCAGCCACACUGGCACUGCGACACGGGCCAGACUCCUACGGGAGGCAGCAGUGAGGAAUAUUGCGCAAUGGGCGAAAGCCUGACGCAGCGACGCCGCGUGGGGGAGUGAAGGUCUUCGG